AUUGAACGCUGGCGGCAGGCCUAACACAUGCAAGUCGAACGAGUGGCGGACGGGUGAGUAAUGUCUGGGAAACUGCCUGAUGGAGGGGGAUAACUACUGAAAACGGUAGCUAAUCCCGCAUACCAUCGGAUGUGCCCAGAUGGGAUUAGCUAGUAGGUGGGGUAACGACUCAACUAGGCGACGAUCCCUAGCUGGUCUGAGAGGAUGACCAGACACACCUGAAAUGAGACACGGUCCAGAUUCCAACGGGAUGCAGCAGUGGGGAAUAUUGCACAAUGGGCGCAAGCCUGAUGCAGCGAUGCCGCAUGUAUUAAGAAGGCCUUAGGGUUGUAAAGUACUUUCAGCGGGGAGGCGUUACCCGCAGAAGAAGCACCGGCUAACUCCGUGCCAGCAGCCGCGGUAAUUC
rnacentral:rRNA from 1 species